AGAGGAAGAGCGCUUGCUGGUGAGGAGGAGGAGGUCCAGCUUUCACCCCUAAUCAGGCCUGCGUCCCUUCUUGUCUUCCUUCCACUUCGCUUUGCGCCCUCUGUGGCUGCAGGGCGGGGUUUCGCGGCAGCCAGCACCAGCGAUAGCAAGAGACGGGGGGACAUGAGAGAUUGGGCUACGUACUACAGUAAUGCAUUUCCUGGUAGAGAGUUUACUCUAGAGUGAGACUGACAGACAUUUCAAGAUGGCCAAAGAAGAGCCCCCGAGUGUCUCCAGAGACUUACAGGAGCUGCAAAGGAAGCUGGGUUUGCUGUUAGAGUCUUUCCUGAAUAACUCAAAGGUGGUUGCCUUUAUGAAGUCCCCGGUGGGCCGGUUCCUGGACAGACAUCCUUUUGUGACUCUCACCGUGCUGAUGUUUGUUACCAUGUCAGCCAUCCCUGUUGGCUUCUUCCUGCUCAUCGUGGUGCUCACCUCGCUGGGUGCUCUCAUGGGGGCCAUAUUAUUGGAAGGUCUGGUCAUCUCAGUUUGUGGUCUCUCACUUCUCUGCGUCCUCUGUGGCCUGGGCUUCCUGUCACUUGCCUUGUCGGGGAUAGCCAUGAUGUCCUAUGUGGUGGUCUCCUGCCUCAUGAGCUACUGGUUUUCUCCCAGGUAAAAUACACGUCAAUGGGACAACCUAACCUUGGCCGUUUGGGGGAUUCACACAUAUAACCCUCUAGUCCUACUUGAUGUCUAGAAGCCAAAUUAUAAGAAAGAGAUGUUCCUCACAGUUGCCCGUAGACAUUGCAUGUCAGCUACACAAUUACAGUAGAGUUUCAUACAUACAUACAGACAUUGCUAACCUCCCUGGUCCUUCACCCAUUUAGCUCAUCUCAUUGCUGCAAUAGCUUCCUAGGCAGUUACUAAUUAUUCUAUUUAAAUUACAAAGGCCAGAAGGGGCCAGAGUUUAGGAGGGUUGGAAGGAAGGUAAACAAGGAAGAGGCUCACCUAUCAGGUUGACACACCUACCUCCAAGGGUGGUUUGAGAGGUGGGAAGCUGCUGUCCCCACAGUUUACCUUGGCCUCCUCAGCUCAGCUCAGCAAGAACUUCUCUGCAUGCAGGCCACUGACACAGCAAAAUGCCAACGUCGACUGUCAGCUGGCUAUGAAGUUCACGGAGUCUGAGAGGCUCAUAUUUUGAGAGGCAUGACCGGGAAUGACGGGCCAAAUGGAAUCAAAGAUGGCUUCCUAAGCACCCAGAGGAGAGCUUGUCCCCUCACCUCUCAGGACUGCAGGGCAGAGAGAGGGCUGGAUGGGAGCCCUGCUUCUCUGCUCACUGUGUCCAGACUCCUGCAGUGGCCAGCGUGGCCUCCCCACCCCUCACGGCUCCCCAGUAUGCAGCCUUGACCUUAGCAGAGUGGUGGGCUGCUAGAACUUGGAAGCUUGGCCUUUAGAGCCUUGAGGUUGAGUCCCAGAGCCCAUCUGCGGCUAAGAUAGAUUGUAUUUGAAGUUUAGUUGCAGUCUGGGGGCAGGGCAGGGAUGAAGAGGACGGGUUUUCUCCAGUCAUUUGAAAUAAGAGGUUAAAAAAAUAAUCCAAAGGAGCCAGUUCUUACUGUUUUGUUUUGUUUUUUUAUCAGAAGAGCAUCAGCAUUUGGAAAUGGUGGCCUUUUAAAACCUGAAAAUCUGUCUUAACCCUGCAGCCAGGAGUCCUUUAGGAAACAUCUCAAGGCCUAGUCUAUUGCAUGCCUUGAUCUUUGACAUAUUUGCACUUGAUAUGUUAAUAUUGUUUAAAGAGCUUGUUUCUGCCAAGCCAUUUCUUAACAAACCAAUAAAACCGAACACAUACUGAAGAAAGACUACAAAGCAAACCAGAGCCUGUGCGAUGAUUUCCACUUCAUUUACUGUGGUAUUUUAUUAAAUAUUUAUUUGCUUCUU